rnacentral:piRNA from 1 species
UGAGUGCCUGGUGGUUUUUGAGG